GACGAACGCUGGCGGCGUGCUUAACACAUGCAAGUCGAACGCUGAAGGCCUGGCUUUUGUUGGGUUGGAUGAGUGGCGAACGGGUGAGUAACACGUGAGUAACCUGCCCUCUUCUUUGGGAUAACGCCCGGAAACGGGUGCUAAUACUGGAUAUUCACUGAUCUUCGCAUGGGGGUUGGUGGAAAGGUUUGUUCUGGUGGGGGAUGGGCUCGCGGCCUAUCAGCUUGUUGGUGGGGUGAUGGCCUACCAAGGCUUUGACGGGUAGCCGGCCUGAGAGGGUGACCGGUCACAUUGGGACUGAGAUACGGCCCAGACUCCUACGGGAGGCAGCAGUGGGGAAUAUUGCACAAUGUGCGAAAGCCUGAUGCAGCGACGCCGCGUGAGGGAUGGAGGCCUUCGGGUUGUAAACCUCUUUCGCUCAUGGUCAAGCCGCAACUGUGGGUUGUGGUGAGGGUAGUGGGUAAAGAAGCGCCGGCUAACUACGUG
rnacentral:rRNA from 1 species